rnacentral:rRNA from 1 species
AUUGAACGCUGGCGGCAGGCCUAACACAUGCAAGUCGAACGAGUUGCGGACGGGUGAGUAAUGUCUGGGAAACUGCCUGAUGGCGGGGGAUAACUACUGUAAACGGUAUCUAAUACCGCAUACCAUCGGAUGUGCCCAGAUGGGAUUAGCUAGUAGGUGGGGUAAAGGCUCACCUAGGCUACGAUCCCUAGCUGGUCUGAGAGGAUGACGAGCCACACUGGAACUGAGACACGGUCCAGACUCCUACGUGAGGAAGAAGUGGGGAAUAUUGCACAAGGGGCGCAAGACUGAUGCAGCCAUGCCGCGUGUAUUAAGAAGGCCUUCGGGUUGUAAAGUACUUUCAGCGGGGAGGCGUUACCCGCAGAAGAAGCACCGGCUAACGCCGUGCCAGAAGCCGCGGUAAUAC